rnacentral:rRNA from 1 species
GGCGGACGGGUGAGUAACACGUAGGUAACCUGCCUAUAAGAUCGGGAUAACUAUCGGAAACGAUAGCUAAGACCGGAUAAUUGGUUUUCUCGCAUGAGAGAAUUAUGAAACACGGAGCAAUCUGUGGCUUAUAGAUGGGCCUGCGGCGCAUUAGCUAGUUGGUAGGGUAACGGCCUACCAAGGCGACGAUGCGUAGCCGACCUGAGAGGGUGAACGGCCACACUGGGACUGAGACACGGCCCAGACUCCUACGGGAGGCAGCAGUAGGGAAUCUUCCGCAAUGGACGCAAGUCUGACGGAGCAACGCCGCGUGAGUGAUGAAGGUUUUCGGAUCGUAAAGCUCUGUUGCCCUAGACGAACAGCAAGAAGAGUAACUGCCUUUUGUGUGACGGUAUAGGAGAAGAAAGCCCCGGCUAACUACGUGCCAGCAGCCGCGGUAAUACGUAGGGGGCAAGCGUUGUCCGGAAUUAUUGGGCGUAAA